GAUGAACGCUAGCGACAGGCUUAACACAUGCAAGUCGAGGGGCAGCGGGGGUGCAGGCUUGCCUGCACCUGCCGGCGACCGGCGCACGGGUGAGUAACACGUAUGGAACCUGCCCGCCACAGGGGGAUAACCCGGGGAAACCCGGCCUAAUACCCCAUGCCGCCCGGACCGGGCAUCCGGUCCGGGCGAAAGGAGGAAUCCGGUGGCGGCUGGGCAUGCGGCGCAUUAGCUUGACGGCGGGGUAACGGCCCACCGUGGCGACGAUGCGUAGGGGUUCUGAGAGGAAGGCCCCCCACACUGGAACUGAGACACGGUCCAGACUCCUACGGGAGGCAGCAGUGAGGAAUAUUGGUCAAUGGGCAGAAGCCUGAACCAGCCAAGUCGCGUGAGGGAAUAAGGCCCUACGGGUCGUAAACCUCUUUUGCCGGGGAGCAAGGGCGGGGACGUGUCCCGGCCCGGAGAGUACCCGGAGAAAAAGCAUCGGCUAACUCCGUGCCAGCAGCCGCGGUAAU
rnacentral:rRNA from 1 species